rnacentral:rRNA from 1 species
CCUACGGGUGGCAGCAGUGAGGAAUAUUGGUCAAUGGACGAGAGUCUGAACCAGCCAAGUAGCGUGAAGGAUGACUGCCCUAUGGGUUGUAAACUUCUUUUAUAUGGGAAUAAAAUGUUCCACGUGUGGGAUUUUGUAUGUACCAUAUGAAUAAGGAUCGGCUAACUCCGUGCCAGCAGCCGCGGUAAUACGUAGGGAGCGAGCGUUGUCCGGAAUUACUGGGUGUAAAGGGAGCGUAGGCCGGCUUUUAAGUCAGCUGUGAAAGUCCGCGGCUCAACCGUGGAAUUGCAGUUGAAACUGGAGGCCUUGAGUGCACACAGGGAUGCCGGAAUUCAUGGUGUAGCGGUGAAAUGCUUAGAUAUCAUGAAGAACUCCGAUCGCGAAGGCAAGUGUCCGGGGUGCAACUGACGCUGAGGCUCGAAAGUGCGGGUAUCAAACAGGAUUAGAUACCCGGGUAGUC